UGUACUAUAGGGAGAGUUAUAACCGAAAGUACUCUCGUUUGUCGUUACAAUUGUGCCUGCUUGAAAGGUUACAUGUCCAGUGCAAGCACUGCUUGUCGUUCGAACAUAUGAGCUGAGCGAAAAGCCGACGUUGGAUUCUGUGUUUCUUGGUCCGAAGUUUACCGAUGAAAGCUCAACUUCUCUUCGUGACCACGUCUCUUUUAGUCUUCGGCCAAGUACUUCGAGCUGCCAGCAAGGAUGACCCGAAACAACGGUUUCCCGUGCAAAUGCAUAUCAAUAAAACCAUAGUGCUGGCAAACUUAACGUUGGCAUUUAGGCACUGGUUAAUAUGGCACUACACGUUUAUCUUUACAAAUGGCUUGCUCUCUGUACGUAACAGCGGAAAUCUAAGUGGGAACUGCGAGCUAAAAGUGGGAGAGAAAAUGUCCGUAAUUUUUUGUCCCUUCGACCUUUCGAGAAGCGUUGCAACGUACCUCGUCAUAAAGAAGAACAGCUUGAGACGGAAGGAGCAAUACUUCAACAUCACUCACAACAUCGAGAAGGGAACUUUUGAUGUGUAUGUGUGGUUCAAAUCGCCUAUUGGUCGGGGUGAGUACUAUACGUAUUUGUCAGAUUUCGGCCUAUAUAUGGCGUAUAACUACGCUUUUUGUUGGCAACAUACAGGGGAACAG
rnacentral:lncRNA from 1 species